GGUGAGAUUGUCAACUCUUCAUCAGGGAGGCUGAGAGGAGGGGAGUGGGAAUCGUCACUUUAAUGUCUGUGAAGAGAGGAGAUGGAGAAGGGGGUGUGAGGGGGUGGCCCAGGCUUUGGGUAUGCACCCCCCACUCCCCUCUCCCCAUAGGGCCAGGAUUCUAGUGGCAGGGCCAGCUGUGAGGGGAAGAAGUCAUCGAGCAGAAGGACUGAUGCUGGAGGGAGGGAGAAGAUGGGCCUUUGGCAGGGGUGAAGGGGUGUUGGUGCUGCCCUAGAAGGGCUGGCGGAAGGGGUAGCCGGCCACAAGGCCUCUUGGGUGGGAAAUAAAACAGGUUAGGGGGCACGCGGGGCAGUCCCUGGGUGUAGCAGACACUGGCAGACAGGAGAGGUGAUGCUACAGUACCCAGGUAUCAAGCCGCAUCCUCUUCACAGCUGAGCCCUCAGCCUCAGGCUCUGGGGCUGGGCGCAGCAGACCAUCGCCAGGCUCAGGGCGGGCAGCUGGGAACACAGCUGGAGGGGGAGGCGCAGGGCUGCGCUCACGGCUUGGGGACACCGGUUCUGACUUGAUGCUGAUGUGGGGGUGGGUGGUGACUGUGAGGGCAGCACCCACGUGGGGCAGGGGGCUGCCCGGGCUGGAGGCAGGCAAUGGAAAUGGGGUACAAGGGAUAAAAACAGAGGGGGUGAGUGACAGAACAAGUGAUAGGACACCAGACAGAAAGUGAGAGAGAACAAGAGGAUGAGAAUAUGGGGGAUGGGGUGUUGGGGAGAGGCAAUUGGAUGGAGAGUGAUCAGAAGAGGGUCGAAUGAAGGGAAGAGAAGGGAAAUAAGAAAUAUUAGUUCUCUUUCCAUCCCAUGUCAUCUUCUGCAACACAGGGCCCCCCACCUCCCACCCCCUACCCUGGGGCUGGCUCUCAGAAGGGGUUCAGGGUGAGCCUCUUGGGUCUGUACAAGAGAGCCCAGGGGUGCCACUGUUGCCUAACAGACUGUGCAGUGCACAGCCUCAUAGGAUGUCCACUAGAACCCUGCAGGGAACCCAGCUCCCAAGAGGUCCCUCCUCUUCCCGUUCAAUUCUCCCUUCCCACACACUCACAUGCAGUCUCCCCAGGACUCACAUGAGGUUGCUGAGAGAUACAGGGACCAGGUGGGACUGUUGCUGAGGUGGCUGUUGCGGCUGCUGAGGCUGCUGUGGCUGUGGCUGCUGUGGCUGCGGUGGCUGCUGCUGUGGAGGCUGUGGCUGCUGCGGCUGCUGGGGCUGCUGUGGCUGUUGCCAGGCAGUGACAUUGCCUAGCGACAGCCCCCCAGGUGAACUAAAGGCUGGUAAGGAGGAGAGCUCUGCACUGGUCAACUGGUAAUCUGCAUGGAGGAAAAGUGAGGAUGAACCUGGAGUUGGGGAGAGCACACAGGCUCCUAUGAGGGAGCUGCCUCCAGGAGGACUGUGGGGAUGAGGGGACAGGGAGUGUGUAAUGACAGAUGUAAGGAAUUCAAGAAGACCACAAAAAUUCAGUGAAGACGGUACUCAGAGUUAAAGAAACCUAAGUCAUAAUAACCAUGAGGUGCUGUGUUUUAACAGGAUGAAAAGAUGUGGUUUUUGUUUUGUUUUGUUUUUUUGAGAUGGAGUCUCACUCUAUUGCCCAGGCUGGAGUGCAGUGGUGUGAUCUUGGCUCACUACAACCUCUGCCUCCCACGUUCAAGCAAAUCUCCUGCCUCGGCCUCCUAAAUGGCUGGGAUUACAGGCACAUGCCACCACGCCCAGCUAAUUUUUGUAUUUUUAGUAGAGAUGGGGUUUUGCUAUGCUGGCAAGGCUGGUCUCAAACUCCUGACCUCAAGUGAUUCGCCCACCUCGGCCUCCCAAAGUGCUGGGAUUACAGGCAUGAGCCACCGCAUCCGACCAAGAGGUGGUUUUUAAAAAUAGUGUUGAACUUAAAAAAAAAAAAAAAAACAGCUGGGCGAGUGGCUCAUGUCUAUAAUCCCAGCACUUUGAGAGGUCAAGGCAGAAGGACCACUUGAGCCCAGAGUUUGAGACCAGACUGGGCAACAUAAGGAGACUCCAUCUCUACAAAUAGCUUAAAAAUUAGCUAGGGUGGUGGGGUGCACUGUAGUUCCAGUUAUUCAGGGGGCUGAGGCAGGAGACUUGCUUGAACCUGGGAGGUUGAGGCUGCAGUGAGCUAUGAUCAUGCCACUGCACUCCAGCCUGUGGGAUCUUGUCUCAAAAAGAAAAAAAAAAUCAUGUGUAGGUAUCACUUUCAUAACAAUUUAAAAAAAUAAAAAGAUGGAAACAGAUAAGUAGAGAAGGUCUAUGUCUUGGCCUCAUGCCCAAGGGGCAGAGGGGCUGCAAGGGUACCAUGCCGGGAGCACAGCUGGCCAAGGUUCCAGCAGAUCUCCCCAUGAGGGGGUGUUCAUUACGUCAUAAAAUGUCUACCUUAAAGAAGAAACUGAUGGUUGCACUGUCACAGAAUAAAUAGAAUCACUGAAUGUUUCAUGAUUUACACAGCACUAUUGUUUCAUGCUGUAUCCUGUUUGGGACAGUUUAGAAAAUGUCCUCCCUAGUUCAAGAUUAGCCUGGCCAACAUGGUGAAACCCCAUCUCUAUUAAAAAUACAAAAAAUUAGCCAGGCGGUGGCGCGCACCUGUAAUCCCAGCUACUAGGGAGGUUGAGGCAGGAGAAUUGCUUGAACCUGGGAGGUGGAGGCUGCAAUGAGUGGAGAUCGCACCACUGCACUCCAGCCUGGGCAACAGAGCGAGACUCUGUUUCAAAAAAAAAAAAAAGAAAGAAAGAAAGAAAGAAAAUGUCCUCCCUGAGGCUGUACUGUGGUAGUGGGAGUGCUGUGAUAGGGAACGCACCCCUCAAUCAUCCCAAUACCCCACCAGUAUGCUAUUACUCAGGGAGUCAUUUGCUCCAGCCCUUUGUUUUUAUGCAGGGAAGACAGUAUUAUCUCUGCAAUAUAGCAAUAAGGUUAAAGGCAUGAGCUAUGAGGUCAAACUUCCAGGCUACCUCCACUUAGGCCAUGUGACCUUGGGUAAGUUACUUACUCUGCCUAUAAACUGGAGGUAAUAAUCCUACCUACAUCACACAGCUGUUGUGAGGACUGAGCAAGUUAAUACACAAAAAGCAUGUAGAACAGUAUCUGGUUCAUAGAAAAUAAUCAAAAGAUUUAUCUAUUAUUACUUUACAAAUGAGGCAACUGCAGCCUCAAGUUUGAGGAACAGGCUCCAAGUCAUGGAGAAAGCCAGCGGCAGAGCUAAGACAGGACCCCAGGACUCUAUUACCUUUAAAUCUCUCUAGAGGGGGAUCUGUGCUUGGCUCUAGUCUCCUAACGUUGGUCAGGAGUUUUGAAAUGCUUAUUAAAAAAGCAGAGCAAGGGCAGAAACGGGCCCUAGGAUCAACUAUUUCUUUUCUUUUCUUUUUUGAGACAGAGUCUCGCUCUGUUGCCCAGACUGGAGUGCAGUGGUGCGAUCUCCACUCAUUGCAGCCUCCACCUCCCAGGUUCAAGCAAUUCUCCUGCCUCAACCUCCUGAGUAGCUGGCGUGAUCUCGGCUCACCGCAACCUCUGCCUCCCAGGUUCAAGCGCUUUUCCUACCUCAGCUUCCCGAGUAGCUGGGAUUAUAGGCGCACACCAUCACGCCCAGCUAAUUUUUGUAUUUUUAGUAGAGACGGGGUUUUACCACGUUGGUCAGGCUGGUCUUGAACUCCUGACCUCGUGAUCUGCCCACCCUGGCCUCCCAAUAUGCUGGGAUUACAGGUGUGAGCCACCGCGCCCGGCCAGAAUCAACUAUUUCUAACACUUGUACAAACUAGGAAGCCAAGCCCAGAACAGUACAGUGCCUUGCCCAAGGCCCCUCAGUGAGUGAGUGAUGGAGACUAGCUCCCAGCCCUGCACUGUUCCACCAGAUUCCAGCCCUAUCUACUACUGGGAGGCUUGGCUCCCCAAGGAGGACCAUGGCCCAAGGCCACCUGGCAGCCUACUGGUCUGCUCCCAGAGCCACCACAGCCAGGCCUCUGCGGCCAGUGUCAACAAGGGGCCAGGCCCUCACAUGAGGCAUUACCAUAGCCCGAUUACCCCCAGCCGGAACUUGAACUGCAGCCAAGGACUGUAAACAGUGAACAACUAAACAGCAAUGUGUUCACUGGGGUUUUGUUUACACACCUAGGGUCACCUGAAAACACCUGCUGUUUAAACUGAGAUCUGCUUAGCUGCUCCUGUAACAAGAGGAAAGGGAGCCUGUGGUCUCUGAGAGGAGAUGAGAAAUCUCACACACUUCCCAGCAGGGCUCCAAGGGCGGCCCAGGGGCAGAAACUGCUUUCAUGCCAGAGUGACAGAUGAGAAUCUUUAAGUCUAGCCUUCCUGAGUGCCUGUCCCAGGUUGGCUGACACCAACUAACUUUCCUCCUGCUUCACAAAAGACUGUGGGCCCAACAAGAUGGCAGAAAAACAGAAAACCACCCUCACAGAGUACCUGAUAAACAGCUCCAGAAAAGUGGUCUAAAAAGUGGUCUGAGCUGCCCUCCGCCAACUGUCCCUGUCCCCAGGCCACCCCACCCUCAGGGCUGGUUUUUCUGGUUGGGCCCCAGAGGCCCAGUGGCAGGGCUGGAAAAGCCUCAUAGACCUCCUGUCUACCCACUCCUCUUACAGAUGGGGAGACGGGCCCACAGCGUGUGUCUUCUGAAGCAGCCAUCUGUGAAGUUGCCAGGACAUCGUAGCCUGGGGCUGGGCACACACAUGGGUGCACAUGCAAGGGAGAAGGGGCUCAAAGACACCUGGGUGGUAACUACACACAGACACACAAGCCAGAGUCUGGUCCCUCAACAUGAGGCGGUCCCUCCAGCUCUCUUAACCUGCCACGAGGGGCUUUCCUACACAGAGGGCUGGGUUCUGGAUUUUUCUUUUUUUUCCCUUUUUUUGAGACAAAAGUCUCGCUCUGUUGCCCAGGCUGGAGUGCAGUGGUGCAACCUCGGCUCACCGCAACCUCCACCUCCCAGGUUCAAGCAAUUCUCCUGCCUCAGCCUCCCAAGUAGCUGGGACUACAGGCGUGUGCCACCACGCCCGGCUAAUUUUUUUUUUUUUUGAGAUGGAGUCUCACUGUUGCCCAGGCUGGAGUGCAGUGGCGUGAUCUUGGCUCACUGCAACCUCUGCCUCCCAAGUUCAAGUGAUUCUCCUGCCUCAGCCUCCCGAGUAGCUGGGAUUACAGGCACAUGCCACUACAUCCCGCUUAAUUUUCUGUAUUUUUAGUAGAGACAGGGUUUCACUGUGUUAGCCAGGAUGGUCUCGAUCUCCUGACCUCGUGAUCCGCCUGCCUCGGCCUCCCAAAGUGCUGAGAUUACAGGCGUGAGCCAUUGCGCCCAGCCUUUUUAUGUUUGAACUUUUUUUUUUUUGAGAGGGAGUCUCGCUCUGUCACCAGGCUGAAGUGCAGUGGUGCAAUCUCGGCUCAUGGCAACCUCUGCCUCCCGGAUUCAAGUGAUUCUCCUGCCUCUGCCUCCAGAGCAGCUGGGACUACAGGUACGUGCCACUACACCCAGUUGAUUUUUGUAUUUUUAGUAGAGAUGGGGUUUCACCAUGUGGCUAGGAUGGUCUCGAUCUCUUGACCUCGUGAUCCUCCUGCCUCAGCCUCCCAAAGUGCUGGGAUUACAGAUGUGAGCCACCACGCCUGGCCUGGGUUCUGGAUUUUUACAUGUGGGGAGGAGGUGGGAUUUUGUGGUUAUUUGCACUGGUGGCUGGUUCAACUCUGGGAGGCUUGGGGAAGGGGGAGAAGUUUAUGAGUCUUUUGGUCCAGACUAAACUCAUCAAAGGAACUGGCCUGACAUAACCAUUCACAUGUGAGAGAACCUGAGGAAGGCAGAGGUCUCUAGCUGGAAAUAGCCCAGGUUCCCCAGCCACAUGAAUGCUCUGAAACAAGGGGACAAGGCGUUUCCUUACUGGCAAGUCCUUCUUGACACAGUGGCUUAGCAUACAGGCAAGGAUGGCUGAGAGUAUCACAGACUGUUCCUGCGCAGGUGUGAGUGGGUGGGUGACACAGGCCAGGAUGGCCCUAGGGACCCAGGACAGCCCGCGCACUGGGUGUCCUAUCUGAAUUCUUCUAUCCAGAGACCUUUCUCAUGUCCUUAAGUGGCUCUUUACCUUCAGAUCCCCUCUCUAACCUUCUUCCCUCUUCUUCCUUCCCCAAUCAUCAUUCCACCACCAUGCCAAAACUAGAGGAGAGACGCUGUUCUUCCCCCUCCGCCUUGCCCUGGAGCCCCCAUUUGGCUUUCCCAGGAAGCUAGCAAACUGACCCUGACUGUGCUUUCUCUCUGGCCUCCUCAGCCUCCUUGUCUCUUUUCUCUUAUUCCUUCAUUCUCUUCCAGGAAGCUUUUCUGAACUGACCACGUCCCCCUCACCACUCCCCAUACCUGCAGCCUAGAGAUUGGUCAGCCUGAAUGAUCUGCAGACCUGCCUCUGUCCUGUCUCGUCCUCAGGCUGCAGGCUUUCUGAGGACAGGGGCUCCCUCCUCCAUUAAGUACUUUUUAAAAAAUAAACAAUGCUGGCCAGGCACAGUGGCUCAUGCCUGUAAUCCCAGCACUUUGGUGGAUCACUUGAACUCAGGAGUUUGAGACCAGCCCAGGCAACAUGGCAAAAACCUAUCUCUACUAAAGAUACAAAAAUUAGCUGGGCAUGGUGGCGCAUGCCUGUAAUCCCAGCUACUCAGGAGGCUGAGGCAUGAGAAUCACCUGAACCCAGGAAGAAGAGGUUGCAGUGAGCCAAGGUCAUAACACUGCACUCCAACCUAGGUGACAAGAGUGAGACUACCUCAAAAAAACAAAAACAACAAAAACCAAUGCCUAGUUAAAUUUGAAUUUCAGAUGAAACAAUACAUAAUUUGUUAGCAUGAGUAUGUCUUUGGUGCUGGGCACAGUCGGUAACACAGCACUUUGGGAGACUGAGGCAGGAGGACUGCUUGAGACCAGGAAUUUGAGACUAGCCUGGGCAACAGAGAGACCUUGUCUGUACAAAAAAAAUGUAAAAAGAGCCAGGCAUGAAGGCAUGUGCCUGUAGUCCCAGCUACUCAGGAGGCUGAGGCAGGAGGAUCACUUGAGCCCAGGAGUUCAAGGCUGUAGUGAGCUAGGAUGGCACCACUGUACUCCAGUCUGGGUGACAGAGUGAAACCCUGUUCCAAAAAAGAAAAAAAAAACAAACCCAAAAAUAAAAUAUGUCUUUGGGACAUACAUUAGCAGAAGAAUGUCUUUGGGACAUAUCUGUACUAAAAAACUACUUGUUUUAUCUGAAAUUCAAAUUUAAAAGCAUUCUGUGCUUUUAUUUGCUAAACCUGUUAACCAUAAGUAGGUGGGGGUUCCCCCAAAUCAGUAGCCCUCCUCAGAUGUGGCCUGUCCAGGGGAUAACUAGCAUUUCUGUCUGGUCACUUGCCUGCCCCAAGCCCAAGUGCACACAUGCACAUGUCACAUGAACACUCACCUGUGUUGUAGGCAGUGGGCAUGGAAGAGAAGGGGAGGCCCUGGCUGAGUAAACUCGGCGUUGCCACAGAAACCACUGGGGUGGUGAGCGAAUGAGUAGACUGGGAGACCCCAAGGCGCUGGGCAUUGUUCUGUAGGAGAAAACUGUCCGUCAGGAGGUGGCUGACAGGUGGGCAGCUUUAUGUUGGCCCUCCAUCCCAAGGCCAAGGUGGGGUUCCUGAAUCCCAAAGCCAAGGCGGGGUGCCUUAGCACGGAGGCCCCCACAGAUAUACAAACACACGUUGGUGCAUUCACAGAGACACUCAGAUCCAUGGAGGGAAACAUGCACACACAGAUUCACUGACACCAACACACGUGCAAAGAUGAAGGCACGUGUACUGGCCCUGUGGCCCCAGCACCAACACUCGCCCAGCCUCCCAGUGCAGAGUGAGGGAAGGGAGACAUCGUCCAUCCCCUGUCUCUCUGGAGCCCACUCUCCAUCCAUCACACUGCAGCACACGCCCCGGCAGAGGCGUGCUGGCAUCUGCGAGGGGAAUGUGGGGCCUGGCGUGGCGUGUGCCUGCGCGUAUGCACACACGUGUGUGGGGCUGUCAGCUCCAUCUGCCGCUGAGUCACUUGUUUAUUCCAACUCCAUGCUGGGGCCGAAACUGCCGCCGUGUUGGCCGCCAAAGCCUGCCUGCCUUUUCCAGCCUCUCUGGCCUCCCGUCAGGGAGUUAGGGAGGGAGGAGCCCCCGCCCCACUCCUGGCUGGGGGUGAGUAUGUAAGUGUGUGAGACAGAGGAGGAAAAUGAGCAGCUGUGCAUGCCUCUGAGUGCCCGUGUCAUGGACUUAAGUUCAGGAGGGAGCACAGGGAGACAGGGGAGGUGGGAAGCUGCCACCAAGAAGGACAAGUCCAGCCUGGGCCUGGGCCUUGGCUUCCCCUGAAACACCAGCUUCUCCUUCCAGCUGACCUCCCUCCUAAGAAGGAUCCUGUCCUGGAUCCCAAGAAUGCAGUGUGGGCCUGAGUGGAGUCAGAGGACUAGUGGGAUCCAGCCCCCUAGUCCAGGGCCUAGUCCAGGCAUCAGGGUGGGACCUCUGAGCCCUGGGCUGGCCCACUCCCCCUCGCACACGUACAUACAGAGAAAGGUGUGUCUGAAUGAACAUAAUACCACAUGCAGACAUUCAUGUACACACAGGCACACACACACACGUCUGACCUCUCACCCCCACCCCAUUCACCUUUGAAUCCCACUUGGCACCUAAGCACAGCUCCUGGCAACUAAGCAAAGAAACAGCAACAGUUCACGCACAGGCGAGAGGCCAAGGACGCACACGUACUUCAUGCUGGGGGACCGCAGAGCAAUACCCAGAAUUCAAAGCCACAGCAAAGAGCUCACAGCCUCACUUACCAGAUCUAAAUGGUCCUCAGUCUGAGAGCAGAAAUAAAACCAAGGGGAUGUUCAGUCUCUGGCCGCUGCCCUCCCCCACACCUCUGUCCCCACAGCUGUUCCAGUCACCUCUCUGCAUAAGAGUAGGGUGGCUCUACCCAGCCUACAAAGGCAGAGCUCUCCACCGUCCUGACUCAUUUCCAGAGAUGCUCCAUCCCAAUCUCCACCAGUGAGGAAAUGCUCACCAUCUAAUCCCCAUCCCUCCUGCUAUAGUGGCAAAUCCUUUCUAUGAUCCUCCCCACCACUUCUCUCUCACCUCCUGCCCCUUUUUACUGCCUUAGGCUGGUACUUCUUGUGCUGCAACCUCUUAAAAGGCCCUCUGGGAAGAAAAAUCUCAUAAAAAGCCAUGGUUCCAAGAUUUAUCUUGGGAAGUCCUAACUGCUGGCUAGCCUUCAUCUCUCCUGCUAGAGGUCUGCUCUUUCCCCUGUCCCUACUCUUCCAUUCCCCAGCCCCCACCCUUGGC
rnacentral:lncRNA from 1 species